rnacentral:lncRNA from 1 species
GGCCGUUGAGUUCAGCUUAUGGUGAUGGAAAGAGAGAUGUCAAUAAUUCCACAUUUUCUGGCUUGCAUUGUUUGAUGAAAGGUGACCCCAUUCCCUGAGUUAAAGAAUGCUGAAAGAAGACCAGGCUUGAGGAGGAAGGAUCAUGCAUUUGCUUUUGGACCUGUAGAGUUUGAGGAGAAGAUUGUUACAUUCAGGGCUGUGACUUAAAAAUAACUAUUAAGGCUCGGCGAGGUGGCUCACGCUUGUAAGCAGAGCUGAAGAAGCAGUGCAAGUCCAUUUGAAGACCUCUGGAAGGAAACCCCCAGCGGCUCUUUUUUCACUGAACAAGCAUUGUGGGAAUUUGGGGCUCGGCUGUGUAAUUUGUCCUCUUCUCAUUCAUUCAGGACAUGUUCAGCACCAGGAGGAAUUUGCAUCCAAGUCCGUCUCCCUGCUAAGUGGUAUUUUGAGAAUUCCGAAGCUUAGUCUCAGAGAAGAGCUGACCUGAACUUGCCGAGGCUCCCACUGCAUUGUAGCUUUUCUCUGGAGAACAAAAACUGCCAUUGUCCAGCAGCUCAUUAGCAUGACUGUACAGCCUCCGGAGUUAGCAAGGUGAUGCAAAAAUAAUAUGACAAGAUCCAUGUCUUCAAUGAGCUACAAUCCUACUGGGACAUGAGACUGUGCUUAUAAUAUGAUGAAAGAAUAAGAAAAUUUUAAAGGUAUAACAGGCAGAGCACAAGAACAAGCAGAGCUAUAACAAGCAGAGCACAAGAAGGAAGAGUGCAGAUCCAGGACUGGGACACUUAACCAAUAAUAAUACAAAUAGUGAAAACACAGCAGCAACAGGUGCCAUUUUGGAAGCAAGAAGCAGAGAACAAGCUCUCACUGGGCAUUAAAUCUGCCGGCAUCUUGAUCUUGAACUUCUCAACCUCCAGAACUCUGAGAAAUAAAUUUCUAUUAUUUACAAAUUACCCCAGGAAGUUGAAAAGGGAAAAUGGAAAAGAAGAACAAAUUGGGACCUGAAUGGUGCCUAUGAGGAUGAACUGGAACCCGUGUUGGUCUGGAAGGACGCAGACAUUUGUAGCUGCUUCUAGAAGACACUGAGUGGACCCUUUGGGAAGUCACUCUCUGGAGGUGGUGCUGAGAAUGUAAAUGAAGCUUUCCGGCUCCUGGGAAGUUAUAGACUUGUUCUUGGAGGCAAGAGAAGCCACAGACUGGAGCAGCUGAAAAUUUCCCAAGUGAUAGACUGGGGCAAGGGACAGGCAAGGUGGAAGG